CCAUAGGAGUUGUGCCUUUAGGAGUUUUAAGAAGUUAUUUAGGAGUUUUAAGAAGUUAUUUAAGAAGUGACCUCCAGGUCACAAAGAUAUUCUUCUAUGUUGUUUUCUAAUAACUCACAGAGAGGACAGGAGCAUGAGGCUCAGGUUCCUCCCAACAGAAGCCCCACGCUUUAGGAAUUGCAGAUGGACAUGGAGGAUAAAGAGUUUUGUUUUUUCUCCUUCAGAGGACCUCAUAAGCCAAGGGGAAGGCAACUAGGCAGAGAGGGCUUUAAUUAAAUUUUCUAUUUUUUAAUUUUUCUGAACUUCAGGGGUGCUCAUACUUCGCAUGAUGGAGGGAAUAGUUAAUGAGUGCAGGUUUCCCCCAGGAGGGCUGCCACCACAACGGCUUGAGAUGAGGCGGCCAGCAGCCCCCAUCUCUACUCCAGUCUGAUAAGCUGUGGUGUCAGGCACAGAGGCACCUGUGAAGUUGGAAGACAGUGGAAAGGAAGAAGGUGACAGCCUGUGCUGUCAUGAUAAUGUCAUGGUAUGGAGGGCCCUGGCCUCCGUCGUAGGGGGCCCAUGUGAAGGGUUGGCCUCCAUGGCCUGUGAGCAGGAGCCUGGCUCAGGGAACCUGGGGCCUCUAUUCUUGGCUGGGCUUUGCUUCCUGGGGCCAUCCCUUGAACACAUCACUCCUACAUGAUGAUGAAUUCUAGAAAAUUAAAGCAGGGCAGGGGGAGUUUGAAUGUCACCCUUUUUCUUACUGAUGAGGAAACAGACCCAGAAUGAGGAAGCAGCUUACGGAAAAUUGCAUGGUUUGUGGGCUGGAGACCCAGGGCCAGGGCUCCAGCUGCUUCACCUGGAAAAAUCCUGGACUUUGGAGACAGACAGUCCUGGGUUUGAACCUAGCUCUAAGAGCCAUUUAUUAAAUAAUUUCACAAAUAAAGGUGAUGUUUGCCACCAUGGUCAGUGCUUUAAGUGAAUCUACUCAGAGCUGUGAAAUCUUGGGGGAAUUUGACCCAGUCACAGUUGAGAGAAGGUUCUGGAAGGAUAUGGGCUAAGGUCUACAGAUGAAUAAAAGUUAAGCUGGUAGAGAGGGAAGAGCUUGUAGGAUGGACAGAGGGAUGGUUGGAUGAGUGACAUGAGCCUGAGUUUAAGAGGUUGACUAUUUCUUCACCCUGUCCUCUCUCUUAGCCUGUGAAGGCUUGCUGGUAAAUUGCUAAAUCUGGCAGAGAAUGAGGAAAGGAAGAUCUCUUUCCCUGGCUAUCAAUUGUUUGAGUGUUUCACUUAAAGUUGAGCACCUGUUCUAUUGAAGUGCCCACCUCUGUUCCUCUCCAUUUCUUUGAACCCUAUCACUGGUCCUUGGGAAGGGUAAAUGCAAAAGAAAAAAAAAGUGAAAGCAGUGUUAAUCAUGCUGAAAUGUAAUGCGCCCCUCUGAACCUUGGAAGAUGAGAAAUUAUACAUGCUGAUUUCAUCCGCUACUUAACUCAGGGGGUGACAGGCUGCAAUUGAAGAGGCUUUGGCAGGUUAAGUGCUGCAAACCCUUGCCCAGGCUCUUAAGCAUCUCUCGGAAACCUCUGAGACUCGUUGGUAAUUUGGUGGUGUCAUUUGGAGUGACUCCUGGCCCUGCCAGCUGCAGGGACAGUUCCCAGUUAAAAAAAAAAUGAUUUCAUUCUCAGCUAGGAUGUGGUCUGUUCUUUUUUUGUCUGGGGACCGGAGACUGUUAAGGGAAAAGAGAGUGGGGAGGAGAUUCUGCAAAGAAAUAAAAGCAGACAAGAAUGGGCUUGUGUACAUUGCAACCACCAAAGCCCCCUCAACAAAGCUUCAUCAUUACUGGAAUCAGGAAAGAAAAGGGAGAAAACUAACAUUUAUUUGACAUUUACUGUGUACCAAGUACCUGUCAUUCCUGAACGUAUUGACUCCACACAUCUCCGCGAGACAGCUGUUGUUAUGUGGAGAAAUUAGGCUAAUUAAUUUGCCCACUACGAUGAUGACAACAAUGAUGACGAUGGUGAUAAAAGCUUAUAUUUAUAUGGCAGAGACUAUUAUAAACUCCUUAUCUGCAUUAUUCACUCCUCACAAUAACCCUGUGGGGAUUUUAACACCCAGGGACUUGGUUAUUUUAAAAAUCUCUUGAUUUCAGAACCUCCCAAUUAAAAGAUCCUGGAAUCAUUCAUAAUACAGUUGCUACUGGGAGCUUUUCGGCUGUCUGAUUUUUUAGGGGCCAUGAUGGGCCUAAGGAGGAGGAAGGGCCCAUGGGCUGGGAUUUUCCUUCAUCAAAGACCAGCAAACUCUUUAUUCUUUAGGAAGAAAGUUGUCACAACAAAGGGACACUUACCUAAUGUGUAAUGGGUAUUUUGGGGUAGAUAUAGUGCUUAUCCCAGCUCAAAGCCUCUUGGGGCUGCAAUUUUUAGUGCCAGGAGUUGGAAAACAAUUUUCUAUUUAUACUUUGCUAAAUCCUUGUAAUUACAUAUAUUUUCCUGAAAGUCUGAGUGGCAAUCACAUAUUUAUCCUCGCAAUCAAAGCCAUUGUGGAUUAUCAGGUAAAUACCUCAUUAGUAAGAUUUUGAAACAUGUCUCCCAACAGUUUUUGCUUUCUUCAUAAAAACAACUAAAUUUUAAAGAAAAAGCAAUGUAUCUGUUGUACUGUAAAUUCCUCUAGCUAAUUUUGAUUAUCCCUAUCAAAUGCACUUGAGAAAAGAGAUUUACAAAGUGGUAAAUUAUGAAGACUGAUAUUUAAAGCAAAUGUAGGACAAUUAGUACAGUAGACAGGACCACAGGCAUGAGUGUUAGACUGGGCUGGGGUUAAACUGUCACUGUGGCAUUUACAGAUGUGUAACUUGGGGCCUCAGUGUGAUAGAAGCCUCAGUUUUCUUGUUGUAAAAUUAGGAUGAAAAUACUUCAAAGAGUUACUGGAUUAAAUUAGAUAGUGCAGAUGUCAUGUAACAGAUGUUUAAUAAGUGCUCAUUAUUUUUUGUUUUCAUUGUUAAAUAAUAUCAUAUAAUAUUUCAUUGCCCACUAAUAAAUUGGCCUCAUUCAGAUUUUUACCAUAGCUUUCCCAUACCUACGGAGAUUUUAGGUAGAGCUACAUGAAUUUUGGAG
rnacentral:lncRNA from 1 species